rnacentral:rRNA from 1 species
UGGGGAAUAUUGCACAAUGGGCGCAAGCCUGAUGCAGCAAUGCCGCGUGAACGAUGAAGGUCUUCGGAUCGUAAAGUUCUGUUGCAGGGGAAGAUAAUGACGGUACCCUGUGAGGAAGCCCCGGCUAACUACGUGCCAGCAGCCGCGGUAAUACGUAGGGGGCUAGCGUUAUCCGGAUUUACUGGGCGUAAAGGGUGCGUAGGUGGUCUUUCAAGUCGGUGGUUAAAGGCUACGGCUCAACCGUAGUUAGCCUCCGAAACUGGAAGACUUGAGUGCAGGAGAGGAAAGUGGAAUUCCCAGUGUAGCGGUGAAAUGCGUAGAUAUUGGGAGGAACACCAGUAGCGAAGGCGGCUUUCUGGACUGCAACUGACACUGAGGCACGAAAGCGUGGGUAGCAAACAGG